rnacentral:tRNA from 1 species
GGUCGAGUGGUGGAAUCGGUAGACACAAUGGACUUAAAAUCCAUCGCCCCUAACACAGGCGUGAGGGUUCAAGUCCCUCCUCGACCA